AUAGAUUAUCUAUAUCUGUAUAAGGAUAUAGGACAUAGUAUAUAAAGAUGAUCAAUUGCUUUUGAAAGUGUAUUUCCUGCUCGUAACAAGGAAGAAACUUAGACCAGGGUUCAGAUGGAUGGUGAGAAAGAACACCACUGAGAACAGAAGGAGCUUACACUGGAUUUCGGCUUAGGUAUUUCAGCUGGUACCUUAAGACUGAUGUGAUAAACCUCAGAUUAAUUGUUGUAAUAAGAGUACAGAAACACAAGAAUGACUAAUAAAUACAUAUGGGAAGUUGCAAAUUUCUCAAGAAGCAUUUGCAUGUCUGCAUCUUUCCAGUUACAACUGAUGCAAAAAAAUCCCACACUCGAUGUCAUCUGCACGUUCACUGCUUAGACUGUCAUUGAAAUGAUUAAGAAGGUGAUAUGGAGGGGUUUUUCAGCUUUUUAUUGACUGAUAUCAAUUACUAAGGGUGGCAAAUGACUCUGCCUGAAAGAUUAGUCCCAAGUUUAUAAUUCAGAUGAAAAAAAACCAACACGAUGGAUUUCCCUUCCCUGCCAGCCCACUUGUGUUGAAUAGUUCCAGCAGCAUUUUCUGUGUGAUGCACAGUAAUGCUGUUAUUUGGUUCCUCUGGUUUAUAAAUAAAAUAUUUGUAUCUGCACCUCUCUUCCCCAUGACCGACCUCUGUAAGACCACAUGGGGAAAUCAGUGCACUGCUUUCUUCUCUGUCAGGCCAACAGUGCCGGCUGCCAUCAUGCCUUGACAUUCAGGACCUGAACUCCCUCCUCCUUUGUUUCACCUCUGUGCAGAAAAAGCAGGUACAGAAGCUCCACGGGAUUUAUUUUUAACCAGCUUAUUUACCUUGCUCCAUCUGUUCAAAGCAAACAAACAUUGUGAACGGGAUAGGUGAGAGGCUGAACUGGAUGUAUACAGAGGUAAUUACCUCUGUUGUAUUUUAUUCAACUCCUGAUCUUCAAAUUUAAUAAACAAGGACUUCUUUCGGGUGCAGAUGAAGAGCAUACUUCCUUCUUUCAUUCUUUCUUUGGAAUAUAAGAACAUCCCAAAUGGAAGCAAGGAAUUUCAGAAGUAGCUACUCAUUUUGACUAUGUUUUUAUAUAUUGAGUUUGGAGUAGCUUAAUAGACAUUUUCAGCAAUGCUGUAUCUCUGUGGUUGUAUUCAAUAUAAAUUGGAUGUGUAUGGCCAUCACAGCUUCUUGGCAGCCAAAGACACCUCUCAGGAAGCUUUGGGAAAAAUUACUUACCCUUUCUCUGAAAAACAGAAGUCAGAUAAAAUGCUGGUGAACUGUGGACUUCCCAUCCCUUCUCUUCCGCUGCUGAUAACAGAGGAGAAAAAGCUAUAAUUAUUUGUUCCUGCCACUGUGUAAAAUCAAAAUCCUGUCUUCCCCGAAGGACCUAUUUGGAGUGAACUGUUUCCUAUAACUGAGCUUGGGGUUUCCCCCACCACAAAGUACUCCUUUUAUUUUCCUUUUUGUGUGCAGUGUCUUCCAGCUGAGAAAACCCCAGCUCCUUUUGUCCACAGCCACUUAACUUUUGGUAGGCCUAGUUCCAGAUUCCCCAGGAAAACUGUCUGUUUGAUUUUCACUGAGACUCAACAAUCCUAUUUUAGGUUUCACAGAGACUUAAAAAAUUUGACUUAAUAAAAUACCCCAACACGUGUGUCCACAGCCACAGAGUGAGCUGCUGUCUGAGCUUACCUGAAACUAGAGCUCAGGACUUGUUAAAUUAGUUUAACAUCAGUCUACACAGAUCAUCUAGACCACCACCUCCCUCAAGGACAGGGAAAUACUUCCCAUGUCAUAAACUUCCUUUUUGGUAUAGGGUGAUCAGACACAUAAUUGUCUGAAAGAGGAACAAUGCUGUUCUUCUACAGGCUCCAGCUCUGAAGGUCAUGAGGAGAAGGCAGGACUCACUUCAAUUGAUAAUGACAGAAAAUAUUCAUUCAAAUACAUUCAGUGUGUCAAGUGGCACUUUAAAAACCCUUUGAGGGCAAGACGGACACAGCUGCAGGCGACUGCUUCUAUCUAGGCAGGAACAGGGCACAGAGGGGUCACAUUUGCUCAGGCCUGAAUCAUCUCAUCCAAAUCACAUUAGAAAGAUCUUUCUAAAGGCUUCUUGAGAGAGAUCAGAUAUGACAACCUCAAAUUCAACUCUUUAAACUAGGACAGAGAAAAUAUCGUAAGUUUACAAAAUUGUAAUAGAUAAAAUCUUUGCAGUAGUUCAAAAGGAUACAAGCCCAGAGGAUCUGUUUUUCAGGAAAUACACUUUAGCUGCUGUUGCAUAUCACAAAUAACUGUAACUUCAUACAAAGCCUUUUUCAGAGUGGUUCUCCCAGUUGUCUUCACUGCAGACUGCAAAGAGUGUUCAGGGUCAGUGGGCUGUGUCAGGAAUUGCCUCUGAGGAGCUUUGUGAGAUUAAAAGUUGGAGUUCUUUUUACUUUAGAAGUUAUUUUCUGUUCCAAAGAAUAGUUUCAAGAUCAAAUUUUAUGUGGGGUUAGCCAUGAUGCUUCCUUCAUUACAGUUCCCCACUUGUGCUGAGAUGGGCUAACUGCUUCGACAGGAACGUGCUGGCUCAAAGUCUUGCUGUGUAUUUUAGUUCUCCCCAUGCCAACACACAUAAGGAGUUUUCUCGCCCCCAGUGAAAUGUUUUUUACUUCCCGAAAUCAACACACACUGUGCUGAAGUCAGAGCAGCCACCAUCAGUAUUUUAGCCACUGAAAAUGAAAAUAAAACCCAAUCUGAUAUGGCAGAAGCUGCAAUCGCUAAAAAAUCCCUUUGGCAAUUUUCAUUUUAAUGACCUCCUCUGCUGAUAUCAGAAGGUUAUGGCCUGGCAGCUUCCAAUUUCUGCACUCACUGCCUGUCUAAAGUCACGCUGCCUUUCUUUAAAAUGAUUCUAAGACUUUUCCCUGGACUGAUUCAUUUAACAACACUCUUCAAUGGUAUUUAAAGGCACUUAGACAUGCUCAUGAAUUAACCUUCAUAACCUCCAUUACGAAUUCAUGAGUGUCAUACUUACUACACAAAUUAGUUACUGUUAGAUGUUCAAACAAUCAAUUUCACACUUUCUUUCAUGCUCUGGGCUUACAAAAAUAUUUACAGAGCUCUCUCAUUAGCUUUUCUCAAAUCCUUCAUUAAAAUUUCUUUUGCCACAAUAGAGAAGCCUUGGCAACAGCUCCUGCCCUGUACUGGCUGCCUAUCACACUCAUCAGGAUUGCUUCACCAUUGCCUUAAAUUCCCCUCCGUGACUGUACCCAUCUGUUGUUUCAUGUCUUAUACCUCAGAAGCAAUUUGGGACAGGAUUAGCUUUUCAUUUCAGACUUUUAUUGCUUCAGUCACAAUGGGAUCAUUUUCUGUGACUGAAAUCCAACAUGCAACGUGCACAGUAGUGAACAAAUGAGGAGACAGAUAGGGAAAGGCAAAAUGCUCAAAAUAUCCUGUGAAAGCUGGGAGUCAGGGCACUGUUCAUCUUUCUGUGUCUGCAUCCUUUUGCUCACAGUUGUCAUCCUUCUCCUUAAAGGGGAAUUCCAGGCAUUCUAGCAAGGAUGAAAAAUCAAAUUUAAAAAAAGGAAGGAAGAUUACCAGGGGUAAAUCUAGGGAAGGGGAAGAGUAACUCCUCCAGUUUUCCAAAAGCUCCUAUGAAAAUGAGCUAAGCUCAUCUAAAACGUGUCAUGGGUGUCUUUAACCACUAGGAGCCGUAUUCAGACCAUCUCCCGCCUGUAACGGACCUGGCAAAUUUUAGCAUUUAGGUCAGGGGAACAGAAUCAUAGAAUCAUUUAGGAUGGAAAAGACCUCCAAGUCGAGUCCAAGCUGUGAAGAUCUUCCAUCAUCCAGGGCUGCGAGAUGCUGUAGUCACCUACACCUCAUCCAUACUUGCGUUUGGGAUUGCUGAGCUUUCCAGAUGCCCAGGAAGGAUCAACAUGCCCCAGCUUGACCCGAGUCUAAAGCUCAUGCUCUAUGUCCAGUCUGGCUUUCCUUGCUGUCCCAGUGCAAUCCCAUCACACCCUGCACAGACAGCCAGUAUUGACAGAGCUGGAGGGAGGGGAAGUGGUUCUACUGAAUCUUACACAGAAACUUUUGACAAUGUUUUCAAAGAGGGUUGUAGGCAUUUCUGAUUCCAGAGGGGUUUGUAGCUACAACGCUGACUUCUCAGGAAGUCACUUCGGAUGAAAGGCCCAUUCUCAUCAACGACCCAUCCUGUUUUCACAAAGCUCUGGAUCCACAAAGUUCUGGAGCAGGGGCAAACAUGGCUUGGCUGGGAUUGUUAAUUGCUGAGUUAAUAUACAUUUUUGCCUUCGAUUUGCCUGAAAACCUGAUGACAUUUGGUAUUUGAUUGUUUUAAAUAUUUGUUCUUGCAAAGCUUGAAAUGUGUCUCUUGGAGCAUUUUGCACUCCUGUGAUAUUCACCAUUUAAAAGCUCAGAUAUCCCAAAUGCCUCUAGAAAAGUAAACCAGGUCUGCUGCAGAAUGACUGGAAUGUCUGUCCACUGCCUGGUUACCAAACAGGCUGAAAAUAUGAGGAGCUUAAUGCAAAAAAUGCUGAUCUUUUCCACUUUCCUCAAUCAAAUUCUGUCCAGUCUAACCAGUUUGCACACACACACACCUGAAAAUUCUUUAGAAGCCAAACCUCUUGUUCACUUUUUCACUAUCCAAGAAAGUCAAUAAUAAACAAAUCUUCAUUUAAAAUUACAUAUACAAAUUUUUAGAUGUUAUAGGUGUGAUUUAUUAUAGCAGCUUCAACAGCCUCACUCCACUGGCCACCUCCCUGGAAGCUGAAACCCAUCAUCCCAUAUUUCCCAGCCUACUACAGAUGUGAACGAGGAGGAUUAAUUAGUUGACACUUUGAGAGGUAUUUUAUUUCUGUGUGAUGCCACAGGAUUGCAGUGCUGGCCACUUCUCAUAUAAAGAAGCAGAACUUGAUGAACACCUGAAUAACCUACAGAUGAAAUUUGGUCCCAUGAGGUUUAGAGUUCAACAGGUGUGAGCCAAACAUGUGUGAGAAGAAGUAGCACUGAAAGCAUCUUUAGUGAAGUGUGUGGCACAAGGGUGUGCAGUCUGGAUGUGGGUUUGAAUCAAAGUGCUUUGAGACCCUCAGGCUGAGGGGGUAAAUUUGGAUGUUCUGUUAAGUAGUAUGUGAUUUAUUUCGAAGAUGAGUCUGCAUUUGUAGCAUGUGGUGUUGACACACUGAUGACCUUUCCUAAAAGGAAGCAGUGACAUGGCUGUGCACCAGGUUUUUUCAAACCAGUUGUGCAGAGAAGACUUUGGAGCAACCUGUAAAACCUGUAAUGUACUUGCACAAGCAAUUUUUGAGCACCAGCACCAGUGAAUCCUUGUUUCCUGGAGCCUUGUACCCCGAUUGACUGCAUCCCAAGCAAAAUCACCAAGUGAAGGUUUUCCCAGAAUAGCAGCACCUACAAGAUGUCCUUCCCACCCAGAAUUCUCUGAUGAUGCAUGAGUUUCCAGCCAUUACUUCAGUAGCUUUGCUUACAGGUGCUUUAUUUUUCUACCUGUCUUCCUAUUUUCACAGAGAUGGCAUGAACUUCUGUUCAGGAUUUUGUCCUUCUGUCUUAUUUGACUGAAAACAGAUUUAAAUGUUAUUAGCAAGAGAAGAAAGGAUGAGAAAAUCCAUCAGGUGCCGUAGUUCUGCAAGUCUCCAUAUGAAACCAAUCAGAAAAUAAGGAAUUAAACUCCAGCCAGCAUCAGAGAAAGACAGGAAGGCACAGCUGUCAUCAGACAGAAUGAAAAUGCUCUGACAGUAAAAAAUAACAACUUUUCCACUCUCUGUGCAGGUCUCUUUCCAGGCAGCACAGAACAUCCAAAUGCAACCUUUCCUCUGGAUUUUUUUGCUCAGUUUGCAUAUACUGUUGCUGUACUCAGGAAGCAUCUAGGUCUUUAUCUGAUCUCCGUGGCAAAAAAGCAAGAAUAGACAGAUCACUGAGCACAGGGAUCAGCUAAACCAGAGGAAGCAGCAGUUGAACAGCAAUUAGGAGCAGCUCAGUGCCAUCCCAGCCCUCCUGACAAGGUUCUGACCCCAGGGUCUCCUAAAGCCUUGGACCCUUGGCUAAAGGGUACCUUGUGGUGUAAUCAGCAGGGCCAGGUUUAAUACGUGAUUUGAACACAGCCACAGUAAGCAGGAGGAUGCUAUUCAAGAUUAUGGGUUGUCCAACUUAGAAGAAGCUGGAGACCAUUAAGUAUCCAAGCAAAGAGACUCAUGGAGGAAACACAGGUAGAAGAAAGCACCAGAGCUGGAAGUUUGACUGUGCCCCACACUUGCUGUCAGGCCACCACGGUGGCAGCCCAGCCUGAGGGAACCCAGAAGCAAAGUGGAACUGGAGACUGGCUGCAGGCAAGGUUUCCACAGAGAUCUUUCUGCUUUCCCUGAGGUGAUGUGGUAUUAAAGACUUGAAGAGAUGGAAAAUUAUCUCAGAUAGCUGUGAGAUGGCCUGUGAUAGAGGAAGGAUUCCAGAGACAGCUUGACCAAAAGAGGAGGACAGGAGGAAGAUGGCUGAAAGGAAUGAGAGUGUACAGAGCCCCUCUUUAACAUGGAAAACCCAUUUGUCUACCUCACUGGAUACUGAGUGGAUGAAUACAUUAACUGCUUUGCAGCACGUUGGCCUGGUUUAUUCCUGGUCAGGAACAUCAGCAUAUCUGCACCUCAGCCAGACUCUGGGAAAUCAGUGAACCACGUAAACCACAACACCGUGGGGAGACUGAAGUGAGCUAAUGCUCAGCUCAUACAAACCACGUGGUUAUUGAAACUCAGGAAAAGAAACUGAUGACAGAGCCAGGUAAAACUGGCACAAUCCAGUGUAUUUGUGGAGUUAAACUCCUAUCUUCCAUGGCAAGGUGAGACAAAACUGGCAGGCUGUCAUUGCUCUCUCUAUUUUUAUUUCCUCCCUGUCACCUGGUACCAAAAUGCCUUUUUUGUUGGGAAUUCUGUCUGGUCCAUCCCAAAGGUGGUGCCUGGUGCCUCCUCUUGCUGCUCUGGAGCCUUCCUGCCUCCCUUUCACAGGCACAGACAUUGUCAUGAAAUAGUAGUGAGCAGAACCCCCAAACCAGCCACCACAACCAGAGACAUCUCCUGCUGUGUAACUUGGGAGGGACUUCACACUCUCAGACUAUCAUUUCAGUCCCUGGAAUCUUCCAUGGUGGGAGUU